GGAGAGGUGUCAGAGUGGUCUAUUGUGCAUCCUUGGAAAGGAUGUGUACUGAAAAGUACCGGGAGUUCGAAUCUCCCUCUCUCCGCCA
rnacentral:tRNA from 1 species